UACGGAGGGGCGAGCGUUAUUCGGAAUUAUUGGGCGUAAAGGGCGCGUAGGCGGCUGUGUAAGUCAAAGGUGAAAUCCCUCGGCUCAACUGAGGAACUGCCUUUGAAACUGCUCAGCUUGAGGCCGGGAGGGGGUGGUGGAAUUCCCAGUGUAGCGGUGAAAUGCGUAGAUAUUGGGAGGAACACCAGUGGCGAAGGCGGCCACCUGGACCGGUUCUGACGCUGAGGCGCGAAAGCGUGGGUAGCAAACGAGG
rnacentral:rRNA from 1 species